rnacentral:rRNA from 1 species
UGUUCUAUGAACAUUGGGUAGGGGAGCGUUCUGUAAGCCGUUGAAGGUGUGUUGUAAAGCAUGCUGGAGGUAUCAGAAGUGCGAAUGCUGACAUGAGUAACGACAAGGGGGGUGAAAAACCUCCCCGCCGGAAGACCAAGGGUUCCUGUCCAACGUUAAUCGGGGCAGGGUAAGUCGACCCCUAAGGCGAGGCUGAAAAGCGUAGUCGAUGGGAAACGGGUUAAUAUUCCCGUACUUCUUACAAUUGCGAUGGGGGGACGGAGAAGGCUAGGUGGGCCUGGCGACGGUUGUCCAGGUUCAAGUGCGUAGGCUGAGUGUUUAGGUAAAUCCGGAUACUCUUAAGGCUGAGACACGACGUCGAGCUACUACGGUAGUGAAGUCAUUGAUGCCAUGCUUCCAGGAAAAGCCUCUAAGCUUCAGAUUGUAAGGAAUCGUACCCCAAACCGACACAGGUGGUCGGGUAGAGAAUACCAAGGCGCUUGAGAGAACUCGGGUGAAGGAACUAGGCAAAAUGGUACCGUAACUUCGGGAGAAGGUACGCUCUUGAUGGUGAAGUCCCUUGCGGAUGGAGCUGACGAGAGUCGCAGAUACCAGGUGGCUGCAACUGUUUAUUAAAAACACAGCACUGUGCAAAAUCGUAAGAUGACGUAUACGGUGUGACGCCUGCCCGGUGCCGGAAGGUUAAUUGAUGGGGUUAGCGUAAGCGAAGCUCUUGAUCGAAGCCCCGGUAAACGGCGGCCGUAACUAUAACGGUCCUAAGGUAGCGAAAUUCCUUGUCGGGUAAGUUCCGACCUGCACGAAUGGCGUAAUGAUGGCCACGCUGUCUCCACCCGAGACUCAGUGAAAUUGAAAUCGCUGUGAAGAUGCAGUGUACCCGCGGCUAGACGGAAAGACCCCGUGAACCUUUACUACAGCUUGGCACUGAACAUUGAACCUACAUGUGUA